AGAAAUAUCAAGCUGAGGCCAUUGGCUUCAGCAUUGAAAUGAACGUAAUGUAAAUACUUUGAUGAGUAACAACUGGAGGGCAAGUCUGGUGCCAGCAGCCGCGGUAAUUCCAGCUCCAGUAGUGUAUAUCAAAAUUGUUGCGUUUAAAACGCUCGUAGUCGGAUGACAAGAACGUCCCCAAUUACCGGUUUAGCCGAGUGGUUGAGGGUGUUUUUUAUUCGCAAGCACUGGUUGUGGGCUUUAAUGCUUGUGGCCAGUCACUUGCGAGGCGUGCCUUGAAUAAAGCAGAGUGCUCAAAGCAAGCGUAACGCUAGAAUGUAAUAGCAUGGAACGAACAGUGUUGAUUUCUGGCUGAGUUGGUCGGUGUGGCAAAGGUUUAGUUUGAUUUGUGGCAACACAAGUCGAACGGCUUUUGCUACCGACGGUCGUUUGAUUCGCAAGAAUUGAACGACCGCCGGACUCAGCUGGGUCCUGGUUAAAAGGGACAUUUGAGGGCGUUAGUACUUGAUGGCGAGAGGUGAAAUUCUUAGACCCAUCAAAGACUGACUAGUGCGAAAGCAUUCGCCAAGAGUGUUUUCAUUGAUCAAGAACGAAAGUUGGAGGUUCGAAGACGAUCAGAUACCGUCCUAGUUCCAUACAGUAAACGAUGCCAACACGGAAUCAGUCCGAAAAGGAUUCAGGUUGGUUCCCCAGUGAAAACUCAAGUUUUCGGGUUACGGGGAGAGUACGAUCGCAAGGUAGAAAUUUAAAAGAAUUGACGGAAGGGCACCACAAGGAGUGGAGCCUGCGGCUUAAUUUGACUCAACACGGGGCAACUCACCAGGUCCGGACAUUGAAAGGAUUGACAGACUGAUAGAUCUUUCAUGAUUUAAUGAUUGGUGGUGCAUGGCCGUUCUUAGUUGGUGGAGUGAUCUGUCAGGUUUAUUCCGGUAACGAGCGAGACCACGGUGUCUAGUUAAUGGCAGGUUGGUUGUCCUUUGGUCACCAUCCUGAUUCUAGACAGACAACCGGAUUGAA
rnacentral:rRNA from 1 species